AUGGCCUCGAUACGCCAUAGGCCAUCUCCGUGUAAUCAUGCUACGAUCGAAUUUACAUGGCAAAUUGCGCGAAUCAGCGGAUCGAACGUUUUCUUCCUGUUAUCCAGCCGGAACAACGAUCCUCUUUAUCUCUUGAAAUAAUGCGGACGGAGUUAAAAAGGUUUGAUCUUCCUAGGAAGACCAGAUAUAAUUAUGAUGGAGAGCCGGAGGUGGGAAUCUUACGGGCGUUGCGAUAAGGCACACAUUAAUUGAAGAACAACAUCCGGCAUGGAGCCGGUGGCCGACGUCGUGACAUCAUUGUCUACGACAGAACGAAAAUGGAAUUAAACGAAGCACCAUCGGCCUGAGCCGAUUCAAAGCAAAGGAUACUGUGAGCUUCCUUUGACUCAACGGAUCCCUAAAAUUUACUCAUCAGCUCACAAAACCCUUCCAAACACCCGGAGGUAACGUGGGUGGAGGACAAUAAUAUCCACGUGCACGAAGGUGAGCACACGAAGCAAGCAAGAAAAUAAACAAAUGAGUAAGAAAGAAAGAAAGAAAGAAGAGGCGGUUGGACAAGGCGCAUCGCGUACGCGCGCGUAGCUCGUGUCCGGUCAGCCGUUAAGAAGGAAGCUUCAGGCCGAUGUCGAAGAUAAGGCCGGGGACGUGUCCCUCUGUGCGUGGCAUUCUCCCGGAGAAAUGGUACCGAAGUUCGGGGACCAACGAGUGUGCCAGGCCCUCACGUAAUCCACGGAUACGUCGCGACGAAUUUGUACGUCUGCCCAAUGAGCCAGAAGCCACCCUGCGUUAGCCUCGUUUCGCGUUCACCGUUCUUCUCCUCUUUUCGGGCCGUUCCACCGAGGAGAAGCCACGAAACUGGGCCCAUCUUCAUUCAAAAUGGCUACCGUCUCCACGUCGGUGGACAACCGAUGUAAACUACAAGCGCUCCUCUCGAACACAAACUGCCUCGUCGAUCCCUCGUCGAUCGCGUCGCCGGUUUUUUCGAUUUCUUCAAAGUGGCAACGCUUGCUUUUCGGGAAGACGGCGAUAGAUCUUGAGCAUAGGAUGAUAGAGAGAGAGAGACAGACACACAGAGAGAGAUAUUUCUUUGAUCGGGUUUGGCUUGGUUGAGUUGGUUGGGUUUGUUAGCAUUGAUAGAGAUUGGAGCUUUUAGAAGUCUUUCAUUUAACGUUUUUUUGUAACGUACGUUGAGUGGACUUUAGUGGGUUUUUUAAUAGGAAAUGUACUAAUACUAGAGUUACUUUAAUAUAUAUCUCAGUAUGUGAUACCCAGAUCAUUAGAAUUCGACCAAUAAUAUAUGUACUUAAUCACACUUCUGGCCUACAAGUGAAUAUUAAUAUUAGCAAAAACACUUGCAUGUUUUUAGUAAUUUGAAAAAAAAACUCAAUGUACCGUCAAAAAACUCAGUCGUGUGGACAGUCAUUGACUGACUUGGUAGUUUUAGUGUCACGGAUAACUUCUUAUAAGAAGCGGCAAACCGCUUUAUAUUUCCUUCAUUAAAAGAAUCCCACUUUCGUAUUAUCAGAAUUAUCACCCUCUAAUCUCCAUUUCCCAAUACAAAAGAACAUAUAUCAAUGUUACUAAAAGGUAUCUCUAAAAGUAGUCACCUUACCUCCGCACUAGCCCAAUUAUAUCAAACCAUUAAAACCUCGAAUCAAAUCAUUCAUCUCCUUAUCUAAACCUCCUAAUACCAUCCCUGAAAAACCAACCAACCUGUCAAGCCACCAAACAACCUCACAUCCCUCAAUCCUCUACCAAAGUCAGUUUCGGAUAAGCUUUCCAUGUAUAAUACUCGCAUGGAACAACAUCAAAAUUACAGGUACCAUUGGUAGCAUCAUAACGUCCGCGAACGAUCGGAAAAUCUGUCUAUCGUUAAGAGGGGGGUAGUACGGGGCGAGUAGAACGAAACGGUUCGAAAGGAGGAGUGACGAAGAGGAGUAGUGGACUGCUGAGAGAGGGAGAGAGAAAGGAGAGCACGGAGCUCGUGUUUCCGGCCGGGUGAACAACAAUGCCCGCAGACAAAUGAGCAUCCCGCCUCCAUUGUUCGCUUCAUCGGCACGGCGCAGCCUCUCUCUCCCCUGUUACCCACCCUGGUUCCGCUUACGCCCCUCUCCCUCCCCAAUGUCCUCCUCUCCUCGAUCCCUCUUGCUGUCUCUCCCUUUACCCCGAUGAUCGAAGGUUCCACGUCCUCGUCCUCGUCAUCGUCCUCGUCCUCGUUCUCGUUCUCGUUCUCCUCAUCGUCGUCAUCGUCUUCGCCAUCCUCCUCAUCGUCGUCGAACAGCCAUAGCUGGGGGGUCCUCGAUCAACCUGAUGCGGGCCAACACCGAUUAAACAUCUCUGCUUCGUCGAAUCUCCGUUAACGGGUAUCCCCUCUCUGUGUCCUCGUGAAGAGGUAGGGUUCCCCAUGGUGCUACUCUCUUUUGUCCAGAGUUCUACCGUGGUUCUUCUCUAUUUUUACCCUCAUUGUCUCCUCCGUGUGCGCUCGAUGAAAAUAACGCACGCCGAUGUCCGGAUGGAGGCGACGCGGAUCUUGUCGAUAGCCUCCAACAUUUUGCUCACUUUCUGUAUCUUCCUGGCCGUCUCUGCCUUGCCUUUUUUCAUUGUUUGUCAGGUUCAACGUUCAACCCUCUUGCGUUAUUGAACUGUAUAAUAUUACCAGUAGACUGCGGAUGUCUAAUUCAUGUUCUUGUGGGUAGAAUCGUAGAAACGAAAUCUAUUUUAUUAGAUUCUCUCGUAAUAACGAAUUUGAUAAUAAAACUGAAUUUCGUAAGUUACAAGUUAUUUAAUUAUUCUAUUUGACAAUCAAAACUGUAAAAUUUUGAAAAAAAGAGUUCUAUCGUCGAGAACUUAUAACUUGCUAUUUUCAGUGGUCAGAGGCACGAGGGAUCUGUUAAAUUUUUCAGUUUCGUCUACUUUCUCUUUUUGUUUCCUAUUUGUAGUUUCUAUAGCUUUUCUCCUUUCUUUCCGAAUCGUUUGUUUGGUUAUUUUGUAUUGUUGUUGUGCAUGUUUAUUUAGCUAGCGAGCAACGUUGCAUGUUAAAAGCGGAUACGGGAGCUGAGAAUUUGAAUAAGUAUCGAAGAAAUUUAUUUUCCCGUCUGCUUCAGGUUUUCGUUGUUUUACUUUCAUGUUCUAGUACGAAGGACUACGAGGCGUGAAAUCGAAGGCUAUCGGUAAAAUGUGCUUCAUUUGCGUUUAAAGGCUUGCUUUGAAGAUUGAAAAAGUCAUUUACUGCUGUAAUUGACUUGAAUACUUACGAUUUGCAUUUCAAGUUGGACAAUCUUUUCAUUCCUCUGGCAACAAAACUAUUUAAACUGCUGCUACUUCCUAAAUUUUUCAGUUCUUUCCACUUUGUUUGCAAAAUUAUUUUAUUUUGUUUUUGUGAGCCGUAUUAACCUCCAUUUCCAUCAUUUUUAACUGACCUAGAAAUUAAAAAAAAAAAUUGUCCAAUUUUGCGGUAAAUAAAAUAAAAGAUUAACGACAUGUAGGAAUAAAUAGAGAAAGAAGAUCGAUUAAAGGUGAGAAAUUGUACGAAAGGUUGAACGAUCAUUAAUGUUAACUAUUUAUUGAAGAGGAACGAGGCAUUUCAUCGCGAAAUUAAUCGACUACAACGGCUAACUUUUAUUAUUAGUUAGAUAAAAUCAAGAGAUCGUUGUUGUUCAAUUGAAUAAGCUGCGUGUUUAUUAGACAUGUGUCUAUUAAAACACAACACCUGAAUAAAUCGAAUCGUAUGGAUGUAAAUUAAUUAUGAUUGUAUUUUGAUUAACAUUACGAUACAGUUUGUAUAAUAACGUGAGAAUGAAAAUGCCGCAACGAGAUUCCCUUAAUAAAUUUGGUUAUAAUAUCCGUUCAUUUCCGGCUGUAACGGUAUACACUGUGAAACCUUAUUUAAACAAUUAAAAUAGGUCUGCUCAUAAAAAUGACAUCGCUAUUCGCAAAGAAUUCCCAUUAUAUCCAAAAACUGACGUUGUUUCCGCACUUUCUCAAGUGUUACAAGUGUCACAUAACGCUUUAUUAUUUUUACUUCACACUUUUCCUUCCUAAGUACUUAUCAUGGUGCACAUAUUUUCAUGGAAUUAAUAUUCUUUAUAACAUUUGAAAGCGAAGACUAUUUUCAAAUUUCUAACCUCAUUUUUUAAUAGAUAUAAGAGUUUUAAAUUUUCUAAAGUACUAUUCACUAUAUUCUAAACUUAUCCAUAAAAAUUCAUAUUUUUGGGACCUAAAAAAUACAGUCGUAUAGUAAGUGAAAAGAGUCGCAGCUAUUAACUAGUAGAUGGUAAUAUACAAAUUAGAUACUUUUUUUGGUUAUGUUUAUCGAUGGGGCGGUGCGCGGUCAUCCGGUACGAGUUUUUGGAUGCACGAUGAACUAACAAUAAGAAGGUAACGCGGGAGGCUCGGAGGGCCAGAUGUUGUGCAAGGAUUCAGCAUCCUCGAGCCCAUUCAUGGCUCCCGUAGCAGAGCACCUUACUCGAACCGAACAACGUCGACCUUCUGCACCACAGAAAUUCGAUGCUGCUCGGAACCUCGGCCAGUGUGUAAUAUCUUGCUCAUAUAUAUUCUAUCUUGUUCCAAUUUCCAAAUCUAUCGGACAGUCGGAAACGAACGAAGUUCUCCGCGUAUGUGAUGCAUUAUUGAUAUCUUUAAUCAAGAUUUCUCUGCGAUUUGGUUAUUCACAUGUUACAUAUGGCGAUCAAUUCGAAUUAUUAAGGUUAAAAACGAAAGCAUGUAUCGACAGUUUGAUUUUCUUCUAUCUGAAAUAUGAACGUUAAGGGUGAUAUUUAUAUAUAUUGAAGGAGUGUGGAAGAUUUCUUCCCUGUUGAUGCGGUGCUCGUUUUAUUAUCUGAUCUUCUGUCAAAAGCUUCCAUGUCAUUUAACAGGUCGUCGUAUGUCUCUUCCACUGCGUCACAAAUUUCUGAACUCCUGUUUGAAACAGGUAAGAUAACAAUCUUUGAUUUUAAUCAGGCUUUCGUCGUUUGUGCUUACCUGUAAUUAGCAUGGUAGUGACAAAGUUUACACUCUUCACUCGCUGCAAGUGCUGCUUUGUCUAGUCCAUGUUCUUUGAAGAUUUUUAACUGACUGUACCAUUUUCUUUUACAUUUGAAAGAUUCUCGAUCUUCUUUCUUUACCAACUUUUUAUCUGCAAAUUUUCAUUACAUUUGUAUUUUAGAGAUUACAUUUCGACAAUUAUAGUUAAAUAUGUAUGGAAAAUUGAAAUGGUUCAACAGCCAUACUUAAUCUUUCACAUUUUUAACAUUCUUGGCUAUCAUUUAUAUUUUACCAACCAAUUCGCCAAAAAGAUAAAACAAUGUGUACCUAACAAUUUUUACAACUGUUUACAAUUUUUACAACAAUUUUUACCUGAUAUUAUUCGGUAAGGUUCAAACGGUCUCGUUUCUGUCAUAAACUUCCAAAAAUUCUUCACUUUGAUUUGCUGGCUAUAACUUAUCUUUUUAUCAAAUGUCAAUUCUAUACAAAUCUUCGUGUUUUGUGUCAUAUUUAAAUAUUCCGCCGAUUUUUCUCAUAGGUAAAUACGUCACUUCCUUUUAAGAAAUAUUACUAGCUGCAUGUGGACAUGUGAAUGGGAUAUCUAGUAACACUUAAUGUUACCAUUGCAGCUAAGUCGAUAAUAUAAACUUGUAACCAAAAAUACCAAAUUUCCAAGCUCGUGUACUUUUUAUAUUUACAGAUAUUAUAUUAUAUUAAACAUUUUAAUAAUAAUUUAUCAAUAAUACAAACAUGAAAGAUCGUAUUGCCAAUAACUAAUAUUACCAUACUAUGGUAAAACAGAACAAGAGCGGCAGCUUUUAAAAAAAUGUAGUUUCGACAUUUCGCAAGUAAAAGCGCGUCCUCAAAAAAUAUCAUUCGUUGGAAGGUUCAAUCGA